rnacentral:rRNA from 1 species
AUUGAACGCUGGCGGCAUGCCUUACACAUGCAAGUCGAACGGUAACAGGUUAAGCUGACGAGUGGCGAACGGGUGAGUAAUAUAUCGGAACGUGCCCAGUCGUGGGGGAUAACGUAGCGAAAGCUACGCUAAUACCGCAUACGAUCUACGGAUGAAAGCGGGGGAUCGCAAGACCUCGCGCGAUUGGAGCGGCCGAUAUCAGAUUAGGUUGUUUGUGAGGUAAAAGCUCACCAAGCCUGCGAUCUGUAGCUGGUCUGAGAGGACGACCAGCCAAACUGGAACUGCGACACGGUCCAGACUCCUACGGGAGGCAGCAGUGGGGAAUUUUGGACAAUGGACGCAAGUCUGAUCCAGCCAUUCCGCGUGCAGGAUGAAGGCCCUCGGGUUGUAAACUGCUUUUGUACGGAACGAAAAGGUCUCUCUUAAUACGGGGGGCUCAUGACGGUACCGUAAGAAUAAGCACCGGCUAACUACGUGCCAGCCGCCGCCGUAA